rnacentral:rRNA from 1 species
UACGUAGGGGGCAAGCGUUGUCCGGAUUUAUUGGGCGUAAAGAGCUCGUAGGCGGCUUGGCAAGUCGGGUGUGAAAACUUCAGGCUCAACCUGGAGCGGCCACUCGAUACUGCUAUGGCUUGAGUCCGGUAGGGGACCACGGAAUUCCUGGUGUAGCGGUGAAAUGCGCAGAUAUCAGGAGGAACACCAGUGGCGAAAGCGGUGGUCUGGGCCGGAACUGACGCUGAGGAGCGAAAGCGUGGGUAGCAAACAGG